rnacentral:tRNA from 1 species
GCGGGUGUAGCUCAAUUGGCUAGAGCACCAGCCUUCCAAGCUGGGGGUUGAGGGUUCAAAUCCCUUCACCCGCU